GGCACAUGUUACUGAUGUCUGUAACAUUCCUUGAAAUGGAUUAAAAUUAAGACAGGUUGACGGAAGGACUAUGAACACAUGGACAGAUAGACAUAAAGCAAGUACAUUCAAAUGUUAAUGGUAGAAUCAACACUGUGGGAAUAUGGGGUUAAAUAAAAAAUUAUUUCAUAUUUCCAUUGUGUUUUGAAAUUUCCAUAAUUAAAUGUUGGAGAGAAAAACUUCACGAGGCCUUUCCACAUUUGCCUUUUUUGGAAGACGCCAAGCAAAGGGACAUGAAUGUUCAGGGUAACUGGAUCUGCUCGGAGGAGAAGCCUGUGAGGAGCAGGAGCCACACAGUGAGGAACAGUUGUCCAGGAUCCCUGAUUCCUCUAGGAAUGCCAGAAACCUCUUGCCUUCAGAGUUCCCUCCCCACAGCUGCCUGGAUCGGGGAGGCCUUACUCAGCUCAGAGGUCAGCCAGGGGCCCAGGAAUGCGGACACGACCCUACGAAGGACACACUGCUGUCUGGGUGUGCCUGGUCAGGCAGAUUAUUCCACCACAGGGGGACAGCCGUUGUGCUGGUGACACCUCAUGAAUAAUCUGUUUCUGUGGACUCACAUGCUUAUUCUUCUGCUGUUGUGGAGAAGAAAACGCACCAAACAUGGCUGUCAGGGGUGAGGACGCCUUUCUCUCAUCCUCUCGCAGAUCCAGAACUUCUGAUGACGAGGCGCCCUAGGGCGCUGAGCUUUGCUCCAAAGAUUGAUCUACAUUUUCCUCUCUGACUUGUGCUGCGUGCAGUGCGCCCUUGCUCUGAUGCAGCUCUCUCAGUUGUCCAUCCAGCCUCUGCCCAUGUGAGCGCUGUUCCAUCUGGGAAGGGAAAGCUCUGCUCUUUCUCAACACUGUAAAAAUUCCUAGAAAGAUGUGAUAACUGCCCAUUCCGGGGUUUUCUCUUUCUGCUCUGCUGUUCUGCCAGGAUUCUCGGCACAGUGCUCUCCUUCGCAUCUACGCUUCCAUUCCCCUUGUCAGCCAGAGUUCCCUAGGCUUUCUGGGAUUUCCAUAACAGUUUUUAGGGUCCCUGAGCUCACGAUAUUGCUCGUCCUUGUGAAGUGUUUCCUGUUUUCACUUCACCCUGACCACGUGGAUUUUGGCAUUUCCUUCCCAAACCCCAAGGGCUCAUCUUGUUGAUCUCUCCUUCUUGACCUGCCCCCAGGGUGAGGAAGGAGGAUGCUGGCGGGAAGGUGAGGACUUGAGUCUGUGCUGAGACCCAGAGGAGGGGCGGGGCGGGCGGCCUCUUCAGCAGGUGGACUCUGAGGGGGUCGGGAAAGAAGAGGUAGGAGAAGAGCGAGAGCGGAGAGCUUCCCUCCCCACAGACUCCAUCCAGCGGCGGGUCCUGACGACCUGGCGUCUAUCCUGCCCGCCCUGCCACCCAGCCAAUCCAGGCUGAUGCUCAGGGUGCGUCUCAACGAUGCAUCUGUGACGUCAUGCGGCUCCCCACCGUCUUGACAUCCUUGGGAAUUCCUCCUCAGCCCCGCCUGCCUCCCUCCUCCAUCCCACUAUCCGCCCUGUGCAGUCAGGAGGUGUCCCCAGUUCACUGGUGAAUUCAUUGGAUCUGUCACGUCGCCAGCUGGAAUGGGACAGGCCCUGAACACAGGGAUCCCAGGAUUGCUGUCACUCAGCGUAGAACAUCACUGUUACCUAUGUAUGAAGUGAGUGAUCUCUGAAGACUUUCCUUUUUUCUUGACAGAGAAUGUUUAGUACUGUCUGAAUCCUCACAUGGGCCACAAGUGUUGCUCUAUGAAUAAAGAGUUUCUCAUGAUUUCUCAUUCAAUUGCUUGUCCAGUAUGAAUUAUUUGGUAUUCUUCAAGAGGCUUCAUCCUCCCACAUUCUGUUUUAGUGUUUAUUCUUUCACUGAGUUUUCCUGUGCUCACUAUGCCUGGUACUUGGCUGCAUAUUUGUUCACAAUGAUUACAGACCUAGGAGUUCUCCCAAGUGGAGUUGCUCAUGUUGUUUAACCAUGAAUUAUAAACGAGAGUAUUCCCACACUGACCACAGACCCAGGGGUCCUCCCCGUGUGAGUCCUCUAGUGUGUUUAAAGUUUAGAGCUGUUGCUUAAAAUAUCUACAUUCCUUGUAUUUACAGUGCGAGUUCUCUCAAGUCAUUGAUGGUCAGACCACUGACUGAAGAUUUUCCAACACAUAUGGAUUCUCUUCCAUGUAAAUUUGCGUAUGUCAAAGGAUGACUGAAGGAUCUUCCACACUGAUUACAGACAGUGUUUCUUCAAUGUGUGAGUCCUCUGGUGUGUUUAAAUGUUAAAGCUAUGACUGAUGUUUCUUCCACAUUCAUGACAAUUAUAAUACCAUGUCAUCUCAGGUCAGAAUAUUCACUGAGGACAUUCAUGAUUCUCUCUCCAUUGUGGGUUUCCUCAUGUCGUCUAAGGGCAGAACACUGACUGAAGGAUUUCCCACACAGCUGACGUUCAUAUGUUUUCUCUCCAGUGUGAGUUCUCUUAUGUCAUCUAAGGGCAGAACAUUUACUGAAAACUUUCCUACAUAGAUGACACUCAUAUGGCUGCUCGCCAGUCUGCAUUCUCUCAUGCUGUCCGAAGUUAGAGGACUAACUGAAGGCUUUCCCACCGAGGUGACAUUCAUAUGGUUUCUCUCCAGUGCGAGUUAGAUUAUGUUUUCUAAGGUCAGAGCUUUGAAUAAAGGCAUUCCCGCAUAUAUGGCAUUCGUACAGUUUCUCUCCAGUAUCAGUCAUCUCAUGUCAUCUAAGGCUAGAGCAGUUACUAAAGGCUUUCCCACACAGAUGGCACUCACAGGAUUCACCUCUAGAGAGACUCUGCUUAUGUUGAUUCAAGUAUGAGUGGUCACUAAGGGAUUUUUGACACUGUUUGCUGAUACAGGGUGAGUUAAUGUGUGAGUAUUCGUGUAAGUUAACAAAUGUUGAGUCAGUGUUGAGUUAUGAGUGAAAUCUUCUCCCAAAUGAUUACAUUCAAAUGGAUUCCCUAGAGUGUGAGAUUUCU
ensembl:lncRNA